AUACGGAAGGUCCGGGCGUUAUCCGGAUUUAUUGGGUUUAAAGGGAGCGCAGGCGGAGAUGCAAGCGUGACGUCAAAUUUCGGGGCUCAACCCCGUCUCGCGUCGCGAACUGCGUCCCUUGGUUGCGGGAAGGGGAGGCGGAACUCGUGGGGUAGCGGUGAAAUGCAUAGAUAUCACGAAGAACUCCGAUCGCGAAGGCAGCCUUCCGGCCCGUCAACGACGCUCAUGCUCGAAGGUGCGGGUAUCAAACAGGAUUAGAUACCCUGGUAGUCCGCACAGUAAACGAUGGACACCCGCGGUUUGGCCUGUAUGGCUGAGCCGCCAAGCGAAAGCGUUAAGUGUCCCACCUGGGGAGUACGCCGGCAACGGUGAAACUCAAAGGAAUUGGCGGGG
rnacentral:rRNA from 1 species